GAUUAUUGGUCACAAUUUAUGAGGAACUAAUUAAAAAAAAGAAAAUAAAAAUAAAAAAAAUACUAACAUGGACUACACAUCACGAUACUCACUAUACAUGAUCAUAGAUAGAAUGCAACAAGUCGGUCCAUAUAUAUAACAUAUGACUCAAUGCACAUACGACGUAAAAAAUUAAAUUGUAUACGAGUUGAAAUAUUCAACUUUAGCUUCAUCAUAUGCACCUCAGUUCUUAUUUAAAUACGUAGAUUCACGCGGUGAAAU
rnacentral:lncRNA from 1 species